rnacentral:tRNA from 1 species
GCGUGGCUUAGUGGUUAAGGCAUUCGACUCGUGAUCGUGAGGUUGUGAGUUCAAUUCUCGAUGACGCG